AUAAUGGGUCAGCGACUUAUAUUCUGUAGCAAGGUUAACCGAAUAGGGGAGCCGAAGGGAAACCGAGUCUUAACUGGGCGUUAAGUUGCAGGGUAUAGACCCGAAACCCGGUGAUCUAGCCAUGGGCAGGUUGAAGGUUGGGUAACACUAACUGGAGGACCGAACCGACUAAUGUUGAAAAAUUAGCGGAUGACUUGUGGCUGGGGGUGAAAGGCCAAUCAAACCGGGAGAUAGCUGGUUCUCCCCGAAAGCUAUUUAGGUAGCGCCUCGUGAAUUCAUCUCCGGGGGUAGAGCACUGUUUCGGCAAGGGGGUCAUCCCGACUUACCAACCCGAUGCAAACUGCGAAUACCGGAGAAUGUUAUCACGGGAGACACACGGCGGGUGCUAACGUCCGUCGUGAAGAGGGAAACAACCCAGACCGCCAGCUAAGGUCCCAAAGUCAUGGUUAAGUGGGAAACGAUGUGGGAAGGCCCAGACAGCCAGGAUGUUGGCUUAGAAGCAGCCAUCAUUUAAAGAAAGCGUAAUAGCUCACUGGUCGAGUCGGCCUGCGCGGAAGAUGUAACGGGGCUAAACCAUGCACCGAAGCUGCGGCAGCGACGCUGAUGCGUUGUUGGGUAGGGGAGCGUUCUGUAAGCCUGCGAAGGUGUACUGUGAGGUAUGCUGGAGGUAUCAGAAGUGCGAAUGCUGACAUAAGUAACGAUAAAGCGGGUGAAAAGCCCGCUCGCCGGAAGACCAAGGGUUCCUGUCCAACGUUAAUCGGGGCAGGGUGAGUCGACCCCUAAGGCGAGGCCGAAAGGCGUAGUCGAUGGGAAACAGGUUAAUAUUCCUGUACUUGGUGUUACUGCGAAGGGGGGACGGAGAAGGCUAUGUUGGCCGGGCGACGGUUGUCCCGGUUUAAGCGUGUAGGCUGGUUUUCCAGGCAAAUCCGGAAAAUCAAGGCUGAGGCGUGAUGACGAGGCACUACGGUGCUGAAGCAACAAAUGCCCUGCUUCCAGGAAAAGCCUCUAAGCAUCAGGUAACAUCAAAUCGUACCCCAAACCGACACAGGUGGUCAGGUAGAGAAUACCAAGGCGCUUGAGAGAACUCGGGUGAAGGAACUAGGCAAAAUGGUGCCGUAACUUCGGGAGAAGGCACGCUGAUACGUAGGUGAAGUCCCUCGCGGAUGGAGCUGAAAUCAGUCGAAGAUACCAGCUGGCUGCAACUGUUUAUUAAAAACACAGCACUGUGCAAACACGAAAGUGGACGUAUACGGUGUGACGCCUGCCCGGUGCCGGAAGGUUAAUUGAUGGGGUCAGCGCAAGCGAAGCUCUUGAUCGAAGCCCCGGUAAACGGCGGCCGUAACUAUAACGGUCCUAAGGUAGCGAAAUUCCUUGUCGGGUAAGUUCCGACCUGCACGAAUGGCGUAAUGAUGGCCAGGCUGUCUCCACCCGAGACUCAGUGAAAUUGAACUCGCUGUGAAGAUGCAGUGUACCCGCGGCAAGACGGAAAGACCCCGUGAACCUUUACUAUAGCUUGACACUGAACAUUGAGCCUUGAUGUGUAGGAUAGGUGGGAGGCUUUGAAGUGUGGACGCCAGUCUGCAUGGAGCCGACCUUGAAAUACCACCCUUUAAUGUUUGAUGUUCUAACGUUGACCCGUAAUCCGGGUUGCGGACAGUGUCUGGUGGGUAGUUUGACUGGGGCGGUCUCCUCCUAAAGAGUAACGGAGGAGCACGAAGGUUGGCUAAUCCUGGUCGGACAUCAGGAGGUUAGUGCAAUGGCAUAAGCCAGCUUGACUGCGAGCGUGACGGCGCGAGCAGGUGCGAAAGCAGGUCAUAGUGAUCCGGUGGUUCUGAAUGGAAGGGCCAUCGCUCAACGGAUAAAAGGUACUCCGGGGAUAACAGGCUGAUACCGCCCAAGAGUUCAUAUCGACGGCGGUGUUUGGCACCUCGAUGUCGGCUCAUCACAUCCUGGGGCUGAAGUAGGUCCCAAGGGUAUGGCUGUUCGCCAUUUAAAGUGGUACGCGAGCUGGGUUUAGAACGUCGUGAGACAGUUCGGUCCCUA
rnacentral:rRNA from 1 species